GAUGAAGAACGCAGCGAAAUGCGAUAAGUAAUGUGAAUUGCAGAAUUCAGUGAAUCAUCGAAUCUUUGAACGCACCUUGCGCCCUUUGGUAUUCCUUAGGGCAUGCCUGUUCGAGCGUCAUUUAAACCUUCAAGCUCAGCUUGGUGUUGGGUGACUGUCCGCUUCACCGCGGACUCGCCUCAAAAUUAUUGGCGGCCGGUACAUUGGCUUCGAGCGCAGCAGAAACGCGAACUCGGGCCCGUCGUAUUGGCUCCCAGAAGCUAUCUUCACAAUUUUGACCUCGGAUCAGGUAGGGAUACCCGCUGAACUUAAGCAUAUCAAUAAGCGGAGGA
rnacentral:misc_RNA from 1 species